rnacentral:rRNA from 1 species
GACAGCAGCAGCCGCGGGAAUACAGAGGGUGCGAGCGUUAAUCGGAUUUACUGGGCGUAAAGCGUGCGUAGGCGGCUUCUUAAGUCGGAUGUGAAAUCCCUGAGCUAAACUUAGGAAUUGCAUUCGAUACUGGGAAGCUAGAGUAUGGGAGAGGAUGGUAGAAUUCCAGGUGUAGCGGUGAAAUGCGUAGAGAUCUGGAGGAAUACCGAUGGCGAAGGCAGCCAUCUGGCCUAAUACUGACGCUGAGGUACGAAAGCAUGGGGAGCAAACAGGAUUAGAUACCCCAGUAGUCCUGUCUCUUAUACA